GCACGAAGUCGGAAUCGCUAGUAAUCGCGGAUCAGCAAGCCGCGGUGAAUACGUUCCCGGGCCUUGUACACACCGCCCGUCACACCAUGAGAGCCGGGAACACCCGAAGUCGGUAGCCUAACCGCAAGGAGGGCGCUGCCGAAGGUGGGUUCGGUAAUUGGGGUGAAGUCGUAACAAGGUACC
rnacentral:rRNA from 1 species